CUUUUUCAUUUUUUUUUUUUUUUUUUUUUCAUUUUUAUGUGAUGUACAAAAUUCACAAAAUGAUGUUUACUUUUUUCAAUCAUAAUCUUUUGAAGAACCUCUCGCAGUCUCUCAUGGAAUCCUAAGGUUUUGUGGAAUUUCAGUUGAGAAACACUGUUGUUCAUGUAUUAACUGAACUCCAUUGAACAGAUUCUUAUGAAAUUUUAUAUUGAUUUUUCAAAAAAAUUUGUAGAACAGAUUCAGUUUUUAUCAAAACUAAAUUAUAAUAGUUUCUAAAGUAAAAAUGACUUUGAACAUUUGUAUUCAUCGAUCUCAAAAAAAUACAAUCAGGCAUGAUGUUUAUUUGAAAUUCCAUGCUUAUAAGAAAGACUUUUCAUAUAUUUGUGCCUGGCCUCACAAAUUUUUAAUCCAGCAUUAUAUUUAUGAAUGUGAGAUGUUAAUCACAAUCACAGAUUGUGAAGAGGAAUUGCUCCCCCCUGACAUCAUCUACAGUUAGUUGGGACUAUCAGCAAUCCAAUUAAGUGAAAAUGUCUUUUAAGAUGACAGUGACCUGUAAGGAGCCCUAAUAAUACCAAUAAUCUUGAUUUUUAUGAAAUCAAGCAAUUCUUUAGUUCUCUGUAAAAGAGGACUUAAAAUGAGGGCCUUUGCUUGUUUAGUCCAGAAAUAGAUCUCCACUGGAAGAGAUGCUGAGCUACCAACUAGUCUCUGACAACCUGCUGAAAUGCAUCAGAUCUAAUUCCCAGGUAGGCACAUAGUCAGUAAAGGGACAAAAAGCCUCUUGGCUAAUUCAUCUGCAACUUUAUUGUCUGCAAUCUCCUUGUGAGUGUACUAUAAACAACUCUAUAUUCAGCAUGGAACUAAUCCAACAAAUAGUUGUUCAACAGAUUUCAUGUCUCUUUGCUGCAAGGCUAAUUUGCUCAAAAGAAAUUGACUUAAAAGCCCCUUGAAUAUCAAGGAAUGU
rnacentral:lncRNA from 1 species